UACAGAGGGGGCAAGCGUUGUUCGGAAUUACUGGGCGUAAAGGGCGCGUAGGCGGCCACCGCAAGUCGGUUGUGAAAUCUCUGGGCUUAACCCAGAAAGGUCAACCGAUACUGCGGGGCUAGAGUGCAGAAGGGGCAACUGGAAUUCUCGGUGUAGCGGUGAAAUGCGUAGAUAUCGAGAGGAACACCUGCGGCGAAGGCGGGUAGCUGGGCCGACACUGACGCUGAGGCGCGAAAGCCAGGGGAGCGAACGGG
rnacentral:rRNA from 1 species